rnacentral:pre_miRNA from 1 species
UUUAUGCGGCAGCAUAGGACUGAAUUGUGGAAGGACCUAUAUGAUUCUACUCCUUUUCAUUUUUAUGCUGCCUUGGAA